rnacentral:rRNA from 1 species
GAUGAACGCUGGCGGCGUGCCUAAUACAUGCAAGUCGAGCGAACGGACGAGAAGCUUGCUUCUCUGAUGUUAGCGGCGGACGGGUGAGUAACACGUGGAUAACCUACCUAUAAGACUGGGAUAACUUCGGGAAACCGGAGCUAAUACCGGAUGAUAUUUUGAACCGCAUGGUUCAAAAGUGAAAGACGGUCUUGCUGUCACUUAUAGAUGGAUCCGCGCUGCAUUAGCUAGUUGGUAAGGUAACGGCUUACCAAGGCAACGAUGCAUAGCCGACCUGAGAGGGUGAUCGGCCACACUGGAACUGAGACACGGUCCAGACUCCUACGGGAGGCAGCAGUAGGGAAUCUUCCGCAAUGGGCGAAAGCCUGACGGAGCAACGCCGCGUGAGUGAUGAAGGUCUUCGGAUCGUAAAACUCUGUUAUUAGGGAAGAACAUAUGUGUAAGUAACUGUGCACAUCUUGACGGUACCUAAUCAGAAAGCCACGGCUAACUACGUGCCAGCAGCCGCGGUAAUACGUAGGUGGCAAGCGUUAUCCGGAAUUAUUGGGCGUAAAGCGCGCGUAGGCGGUUUUUUAAGUCUGAUGUGAAAGCCCACGGCUCAACCGUGGAGGGUCAUUGGAAACUGGAAAACUUGAGUGCAGAAGAGGAAAGUGGAAUUCCAUGUGUAGCGGUGAAAUGCGCAGAGAUAUGGAGGAACACCAGUGGCGAAGGCGACUUUCUGGUCUGUAACUGACGCUGAUGUGCGAAAGCGUGGGGAUCAAACAGGAUUAGAUACCCUGGUAGUCCACGCCGUAAACGAUGAGUGCUAAGUGUUAGGGGGUUUCCGCCCCUUAGUGCUGCAGCUAACGCAUUAAGCACUCCGCCUGGGGAGUACGACCGCAAGGUUGAAACUCAAAGGAAUUGACGGGGACCCGCACAAGCGGUGGAGCAUGUGGUUUAAUUCGAAGCAACGCGAAGAACCUUACCAAAUCUUGACAUCCUUUGACAACUCUAGAGAUAGAGCCUUCCCCUUCGGGGGACAAAGUGACAGGUGGUGCAUGGUUGUCGUCAGCUCGUGUCGUGAGAUGUUGGGUUAAGUCCCGCAACGAGCGCAACCCUUAAGCUUAGUUGCCAUCAUUAAGUUGGGCACUCUAAGUUGACUGCCGGUGACAAACCGGAGGAAGGUGGGGAUGACGUCAAAUCAUCAUGCCCCUUAUGAUUUGGGCUACACACGUGCUACAAUGGACAAUACAAAGGGCAGCGAAACCGCGAGGUCAAGCAAAUCCCAUAAAGUUGUUCUCAGUUCGGAUUGUAGUCUGCAACUCGACUACAUGAAGCUGGAAUCGCUAGUAAUCGUAGAUCAGCACGCUACGGUGAAUACGUUCCCGGGUCU